rnacentral:rRNA from 1 species
GUAAACGAUGAUUACUAGGUGUGGGGGGACUGACCCCUUCCGUGCCGCAGUUAACACAAUAAGUAAUCCACCUGGGGAGUACGGCCGCAAGGUUGAAACUCAAAGGAAUUGACGGGGGCCCGCACAAGCAGUGGAGUAUGUGGUUUAAUUCGAAGCAACGCGAAGAACCUUACCAGGUCUUGACAUCGAGUGACGUAUCUAGAGAUAGAUAUUUCCUUCGGGACACAAAGACAGGUGGUGCAUGGUUGUCGUCAGCUCGUGUCGUGAGAUGUUGGGUUAAGUCCCGCAACGAGCGCAACCCUUACCAUUAGUUGCUACGCAAGAGCACUCUAAUGGGACUGCCGUUGACAAAACGGAGGAAGGUGGGGAUGACGUCAAAUCAUCAUGCCCCUUAUGACCUGGGCCACACACGUACUACAAUGGGCGUUAACAGAGGGAAGCAAAGCCGCGAGGCAGAGCAAACCCCUAAAACCGUUCUCAGUUCGGAU